AACGAACGCUGGCGGCAUGCCUAACACAUGCAAGUCGAACGAGACCUUCGGGUCUAGUGGCGCACGGGUGCGUAACGCGUGGGAAUCUGCCCUUGGGUUCGGAAUAACAGUUGGAAACGACUGCUAAUACCGGAUGAUGACGUAAGUCCAAAGAUUUAUCGCCCAAGGAUGAGCCCGCGUAGGAUUAGCUAGUUGGUGAGGUAAAGGCUCACCAAGGCGACGAUCCUUAGCUGGUCUGAGAGGAUGAUCAGCCACACUGGGACUGAGACAUGGCCCAGACUCCUACGGGAGGCAGCAGUGGGGAAUAUUGGACAAUGGGCGAAAGCCUGAUCCAGCAAUGCCGCGUGAGUGAUGAAGGCCUUAGGGUUGUAAAGCUCUUUUACCCGGGAUGAUAAUGACAGUACCGGGAGAAUAAGCUCCGGCUAACUCCAUG
rnacentral:rRNA from 1 species